rnacentral:rRNA from 1 species
UACGUAGGGUGCAAGCGUUGUCCGGAAUUAUUGGGCGUAAAGAGCUCGUAGGCGGCUCGUUGCGUCGGCUGUGAAAACCCGCGGCUCAACUGUGGGCUUGCAGCUGAUACGGGCGGGCUGGAGUUCGGUAGGGGAGACUGGAAUUCCUGGUGUAGCGGUGAAAUGCGCAGAUAUCAGGAGGAACACCGGUGGCGAAGGCGGGUCUCUGGGCCGAUACUGACGCUGAGGAGCGAAAGCGUGGGGAGCGAACAGG